GGCGACCGGCGCACGGGUGAGUAACACGUAUCCAACCUGCCCUUUACUCGGGGAUAGCCUUUCGAAAGAAAGAUUAAUACCCGAUGGCAUAAUGAUUCCGCAUGGUUUCAUUAUUAAAGGAUUCCGGUAAAGGAUGGGGAUGCGUUCCAUUAGGUUGUUGGUGAGGUAACGGCUCACCAAGCCUUCGAUGGAUAGGGGUUCUGAGAGGAAGGUCCCCCACAUUGGAACUGAGACACGGUCCAAACUCCUACGGGAGGCAGCAGUGAGGAAUAUUGGUCAAUGGGCGCUAGCCUGAACCAGCCAAGUAGCGUGAAGGAUGAAGGCUCUAUGGGUCGUAAACUUCUUUUAUAUAAGAAUAAAGUGCAGUAUGUAUACUGUUUUGUAUGUAUUAUAUGAAUAAGGAUCGGCUAACUCCGUGCCAGCAGCCGCGGUAAUACGGAGGAUCCGAGCGUUAUCCGGAUUUAUUGGGUUUAAAGGGAGCGUAGGUGGACUGGUAAGUCAGUUGUGAAAGUUUGCGGCUCAACCGUAAAAUUGCAGUUGAUACUGUCAGUCUUGAGUACAGUAGAGGUGGGCGGAAUUCGUGGUGUAGCGGUGAAAUGCUUAGAUAUCACGAAGAACUCCGAUUGCGAAGGCAGCUCACUGGACUGCAACUGACACUGAUGCUCGAAAGUGUGGGUAUCAAACAGGAUUAGAUACCCUGGUAGUCCACACAGUAAACGAUGAAUACUCGCUGUUUGCGAUAUACAGUAAGCGGCCAAGCGAAAGCAUUAAGUAUUCCACCUGGGGAGUACGCCGGCAACGGUGAAACUCAAAGGAAUUGACGGGGGCCCGCACAAGCGGAGGAACAUGUGGUUUAAUUCGAUGAUACGCGAGGAACCUUACCCGGGCUUAAAUUGCAGUGGAAUGAUGUGGAAACAUGUCAGUGAGCAAUCACCGCUGUGAAGGUGCUGCAUGGUUGUCGUCAGCUCGUGCCGUGAGGUGUCGGCUUAAGUGCCAUAACGAGCGCAACCCUUAUCUUUAGUUACUAACAGGUCAUGCUGAGGACUCUAGAGAGACUGCCGUCGUAAGAUGUGAGGAAGGUGGGGAUGACGUCAAAUCAGCACGGCCCUUACGUCCGGGGCUACACACGUGUUACAAUGGGGGGUACAGAAGGCAGCUAGCGGGUGACCGUAUGCUAAUCCCAAAAGCCUCUCUCAGUUCGGAUCGAAGUCUGCAACCCGACUUCGUGAAGCUGGAUUCGCUAGUAAUCGCGCAUCAGCCACGGCGCGGUGAAUACGUUCCCGGGCCUUGUACACACCGCCCGUCAAGCCAUGGGAGCCGGGGGUACCUAAAGUACGUAACCGCAAGGAUCGUCCUAGGGUAAAACUGGUGAAUG
rnacentral:rRNA from 1 species